rnacentral:rRNA from 1 species
GAUGAACGCUAGCGGGAGGCUUAACACAUGCAAGUCGAGCGGGAUUAGCAGCAAUGCUAUGAGAGCGGCGCACGGGUGCGUAACGCGUAUGCAACCUGCCUUAUACAGGGGAAUAGCCCAUGGAAACGUGGAUUAACGUCCAUAGGAUUACGGAUUCGCAUGAAUUUGUGAUUAAAACUGAGGUGGUAUAAGAUGGGCAUGCGUCUGAUUAGGUAGUUGGUGAGGUAAUGGCUCACCAAGCCGACGAUCAGUAGGGGUUCUGAGAGGAUUACCCCCCACACUGGUACUGAGACACGGACCAGACUCCUACGGGAGGCAGCAGUGAGGAAUAUUGGUCAAUGGCCGGAAGGCUGAACCAGCCAUCCCGCGUGCAGGAUGACGGCCCUAUGGGUUGUAAACUGCUUUUGUACCUGAAGAAACCUGGUUACGUGUAACCAGUUGCCGGUAAGGUAUGAAUAAGCAUCGGCUAACUCCGUGCCAGCAGCCGCCGUAAUAC